rnacentral:rRNA from 1 species
AUGGCGGAGGAGAAGGAGUCGACGUCGGUCCCGCUCAGCCAGGCGGCGGAGGCCGUCGACCCCGAGGACCCGGCCAAGUCGCCGCCGCGCCCCAGCUCGCCCACCACCUCCACCCGCAAGGCAUGCUGCGCUGUUCUUCAGAGUUGGGUGUCAAGAAAAUUUAUGACUGGAUGUGUGGUUCUUUUUCCUGUGGCUUUCACGUUCUUCAUCACAUGGUGGUUCGUUCAAUUUGUUGAUGGGUUUUUCAGCCCACUAUAUGCAAAACUCGGAGUCAACAUAUUUGGUCUUGGUUUUCUGACUUCUCUUGCAUUCAUAUUUCUGGCUGGAAUAUUUGUUUCUUCGUGGUUGGGUUCAACUGUCUUCUGGCUUGGAGAAUGGUUUAUAAAGAAAAUGCCAUUUGUAAAGCACAUAUAUUCGGCAUCAAAGCAAGUCAGCACUGCCAUUUCACCAGAUCAAAAUACGACAGCAUUUAAAGAAGUUGCAAUAAUUCGGCAUCCACGUGUCGGUGAAUACGCCUUCGGAUUUAUAACAUCAACUGUUGUCCUUCAGACAGACAAAGGUGAUGAGGAAUUGUGUAGUGUUUAUGUGCCGACAAAUCAUCUAUAUAUUGGUGAUAUAUUCCUGCUGAACUCUGAAGAGAUCAUCAGACCAAACUUAUCCAUUCGAGAAGGAAUUGAAAUUAUCGUUUCUGGAGGAAUGACCAUGCCACAAGUAAUUGCAUCGCUAGAUCCCAUCCCAAGGAAGAGCCAGAGCAUCCGCCUAAAUAGAAUAAUGACAUGA